ACUGUCUACCGCCAACGGAUCGCUACCGAAGUUUAUUUGUGUUUUUAGUGAUUUUGUUUUUAGUUUGUUUAGGCAUCGAAAUGUCUUUGGCAGUGAAUUAUAAUUAUAAGCCUCUUGGAUGAAGUUUUUUUUUUGUUUCUUAACGUGUCGUUGUUUUUAUAAAAAUAAAUCAAAGUGAGAUCUAUUUUGGGGUUGUUGUGGGGUUCCAAUCGGAUUGGUUUUUCUUUUGGGAGGCUUACGCAUUUUCACACUGAAGAAAAAUGAUGAAAGAAUUGGCUGAUUGUUUGGGGAUGUCGCGGUGUGACGAAAGCGGAGUUGAAGCAGCAUCAACAGAAACAACCGAUUCACCAUAUGAAGAUGACGAUUGUCUCAAAGUUCGCAAAUACUGGUGUUUCCUUUUGUCCAGCAUCUUCACAUUUCUGGCUGGACUAUUGGUUGUAUUGCUAUGGCGGGCGUGUGCGUUCAUAUGCUGCCGCAAGGAGCCCGAACUUGGACCAAACGAUCCAAAACAGAAAGAACAAAAGGCAUCCAGAAACAAACAAGAGUUCGAAGGAACUUUUAUGACAGAAGCGAAAGACUGGGCUGGUGAACUUAUAUCCGGUCAAACAACAACUGGUCGAAUUUUGGUGGUUCUCGUUUUUAUUCUCAGCAUUGCAUCACUUAUUAUAUAUUUUAUUGACGCAUCUAGCGAAGAAGUUGAGAGAUGUCAAAAGUGGAGUAAUAACAUUACGCAACAAAUCGAUCUCGCAUUCAAUAUAUUUUUUAUGGUUUACUUUUUUAUACGAUUCAUAGCGGCGUCCGAUAAACUUUGGUUUAUGUUAGAAAUGUACAGUUUUGUAGAUUAUUUUACAAUACCCCCGUCCUUUGUAUCAAUAUAUUUAGAUCGGACAUGGAUCGGUCUCCGAUUUCUUCGUGCGCUUCGUCUUAUGACUGUCCCAGAUAUUUUACAAUAUUUAAAUAUACUAAAAACAUCGAGCUCUAUACGAUUGGCUCAGUUAGUAUCAAUUUUUAUAUCAGUAUGGUUAACAGCAGCGGGCAUAAUACACUUGCUGGAAAACUCUGGCGAUCCGCUAGAUUUUAAAAAUCCUCAUCAAUUAUCCUAUUGGACCUGUGUCUAUUUCCUAAUUGUGACCAUGUCGACGGUAGGAUAUGGUGACGUUUACUGUGAGACUGUUUUAGGAAGAACGUUUUUGGUGUUCUUUCUACUCGUCGGCUUGGCAAUGUUUGCCAGCAGUAUACCGGAAAUUAUUGAACUCGUCGGUAGUGGCAAUAAAUAUGGUGGUGAACUGAAAAGAGAACACGGAAAGAGACACAUUGUGGUAUGUGGCCAUAUAACAUACGAAUCGGUGUCCCAUUUUCUAAAGGAUUUUCUACACGAAGAUAGAGAGGAUGUGGACGUUGAAGUAGUAUUUUUACAUCGAAAACCACCCGAUCUGGAAUUGGAGGGUUUGUUUAAACGACAUUUCACCACAGUGGAAUUCUUCCAAGGAACUAUUAUGAAUCCGAUUGAUCUACAGAGGGUGAAGGUUCACGAAGCUGAUGCCUGCUUGGUUCUAGCAAACAAAUAUUGCCAAGAUCCAGAUGCUGAAGAUGCUGCCAAUAUUAUGAGAGUUAUCUCAAUAAAAAAUUACAGUGAUGAUAUUAGGGUUAUUAUUCAAUUGAUGCAAUACCAUAAUAAGGCAUAUUUGCUGAAUAUUCCUUCUUGGGAUUGGAAACAAGGAGAUGAUGUCAUUUGUCUGGCCGAGUUAAAACUUGGCUUUAUAGCGCAAAGUUGUCUGGCACCGGGUUUUUCAACGAUGAUGGCGAAUCUUUUCGCUAUGCGAUCGUUCAAAACAUCAGCAGAUAUGCAAUCGUGGACAAACGAUUAUCUACGCGGAACUGGAAUGGAAAUGUACACUGAAACAUUGAGUCCUACUUUUAUCGGAAUACCAUUUGCUCAGGCUACUGAGCUCUGCUUUACAAAACUGAAACUCUUGCUACUAGCAAUCGAAAUCAAAGGUGCUGAAGAAGGAGCGGAUAGUAAAAUAUCUAUAAAUCCUCGUGGUGCAAAAAUCCAAGCGAAUACACAAGGAUUUUUCAUCGCACAGAGUGCCGAUGAAGUGAAAAGAGCUUGGUUUUACUGCAAAGCUUGUCAUGAAGACAUAAAAGACGAAACCCUAAUUAAAAAGUGUAAAUGUAAAAACUAUGUGGGCAUGAUUAUGAUGCAGACUGGAAUGGUUAAUCAAGGUCUUAACACAGCCAUUAAUCAAUUUGAUGUGGCAACCUUCAGGAAAGGCGUCCGUGCCGUACAAAUGGUAGGACGUGCAAAUGAUGAAUACUCUCUGACAAAUGACCAUCAUCCCGCACCUACAUUUACUCCUCCAGAACUACCCAAAAGGGUGCAUGUGCGUGGAUCAUCAUCGGGUGACAUUACAAGAGAUCGGGAGGAUAUGACUCUUAUAAAUCGAAAUGGACGCCGACCAAAUGGUACAAAUAAUGGUGGAUCAACGUUACAAAUAAAUUCUACCACAAAACAGGUGAACAAGGUGAAACCAACAGUGAAUCGAGGUCAAAUCGAGGGCACACUUAUGUCACCAUCAACAUACAAUAGGCCUUCAGAAACCGAUGCUAAUCCUUAUGCGGGCUAUCAACUUGCUUACGAAGUUAAAAAGCUCAUGCCGACUAGUCGUAGCUCGGGCACUGCACAGAAUCAGCCAGGUAGUGUUACACUGCCCGCUGGUAUUGCUGAUGAUCAAUCGAAGGAUUUCGACUUCGAGAAGACCGAGAUGAAGUACGACUCGACCGGAAUGUUCCAUUGGAGUCCGGCGAGAAAUCUAGAAGACUGUAUAUUGGAUCGAAAUCAAGCGGCAAUGACGGUCCUUAAUGGUCACGUAGUGGUUUGUUUGUUCGCUGAUCCAGAUUCACCAUUGAUAGGACUACGUAAUUUGGUUAUGCCAUUGCGUGCGUCAAAUUUUCACUAUCAUGAACUGAAGCAUGUGGUGAUAGUGGGCUCAGUCGAUUACAUUCGACGAGAAUGGAAGAUGUUGCAGAAUCUUCCAAAAAUAUCGGUACUCAAUGGAUCGCCAUUGAGUCGAGCCGAUUUGCGAGCUGUCAAUGUGAACCUAUGUGAUAUGUGUUGUAUUCUAUCGGCCAAAGUUCCUAGCAAUGAUGAUCCAACGUUAGCCGAUAAGGAAGCAAUUUUAGCAUCGUUAAAUAUUAAAGCGAUGACAUUCGAUGACACAAUCGGUGUAUUGAGUCAACGUGGUCCAGAAUUUGAUAAUCUAUCGGCAACAGCCGGAAGUCCGAUAGUGUUGCAGCGAAGAGGUUCUGUUUAUGGUGCUAACGUUCCAAUGAUUACAGAACUGGUUAACGAUAGUAACGUACAGUUUCUCGAUCAAGACGAUGACGACGAUCCCGAUACAGAACUUUAUUUAACACAACCGUUCGCUUGCGGUACUGCGUUCGCUGUUAGUGUAUUAGAUUCAUUGAUGUCAACGACAUAUUUCAAUCAAAACGCCUUAACACUGAUACGAUCACUCAUAACGGGUGGCGCUACACCAGAACUGGAGUUGAUCCUGGCUGAGGGUGCUGGUCUCAGAGGUGGAUACAGUACGGCCGAAAGUUUAAGUAAUCGCGAUAGGUGCCGAGUGGGUCAGAUCUCACUAUACGAUGGGCCAUUGGCUCAAUUCGGAGAAUGUGGCAAAUAUGGAGAUCUUUUUGUCGCUGCGCUAAAAUCCUAUGGCAUGCUUUGUAUUGGUCUUUAUAGAUUUCGAGAUACAAGUUCGAGUUGUGAUGCAAGUAGUAAACGUUAUGUAAUAACAAACCCACCCGAUGACUUUUCCUUACUGCCAACCGAUCAGGUAUUCGUUCUAAUGCAAUUCGAUCCUGGCUUAGAAUAUAAGCCACCAGCCGUACGAGCACCAGUUGGUGGACGCAGUGCAAACACACAAGGCUCAGGGUACUUUUACAAAUAUUGAAAAACCAACUCACAAUUAGUAUCACAUUAUUCCAAAGUGGAUCAUUUUUAUUUUUUUUAGUUUAAUCCUUUAGUUUUUCUCAUCUUAAUGGUGUGACGUAAGCAAUUGGGAACCAUUAGUAAGUUCAUGGAUAAAUGGAUAGCAAGAUUUGGAGAGUAAAAUUUUUUCUACUUCUCUCUACAACACCUAAACUUUAUUUUUUUCAAUCUUCUGCACAGCAAUUUAUGAUCGUUAUGCGAUCAAAAUUAAAUCUUUCAAUAAAAAAAAACAAAACAGAUAAUAAAUUUGUCUUUUCAAUAAUAUUUAAAAAUACAUGAAAAUUUAUUAAAAAAAAAAAAAAAAACAAAACAAACAAAUAUAUAUAAAACUCUCAAUAACUUUUUUUACAAUUUCUUUUAAUCAAUAAAUACAAAUUGAUAGUAACCAUAAUCGAAUACAUGGUUCACAACAACAAAAAAUAAAAACACAUCAAAGUAUACUGCCCGAAUCAUAUUAAUAUUCGUACAAAUCAAAUAAUAAUAAUAAUUAUCUUCAUUCAAUUCGAACUCCGUGUCAUUGCAAUGAAUCAACAAGAUCAAUUCGAUCAUUUUAUUUGCUAAUUUCAUAGCACAUUUGCAAAGUAAAUUUUUAACUUAAGUAUGUUAUGUACUUUAAUGUAUAUUUCAAAUAAAUACAAACAAACAAAAUUUAUAAAAUACUCUGUUAAUCAAGUAUUUAAAGUAUUUGUCAUAAUAAUUUCUCGUGCAUAAAAAAUUAUGUUCAGCUUUCCUUCAAAUUUCACAAAUCAUUUACAAUUUCACUUGUUUAUUUUUUUUUUUCUUUUAAUUAUUAUAAAGUUUAUUUAAUGAACUAAUCUAAUUUUUUUUUUCAUUACAAAAAUCGAAAGGAUAUAUAAGAACAUUCAUAAGAAAAAUAACUUCAACAUUUAAAAGUUAGGUAAAUAUUGUGUUUUUUUUUUUUUGUUUUACAUAUGCACAUUCCGCACAAUUUGAUUUAAUUUUUUAUUAUUUUCCUUAGAACCUAUUGUAUAUAAAAAAAUUAACGUCUAUUGAGUUUAUUUUAUUUAAAAAUAAGUAAAAUUUGUAUGUAAUAUAGUUUUUGAUGAGAUUAAAAAUUGAUUUCUUUUUAAACGAAAUAGAAAUUUAUAAAUACUAAAUAUGUUUUUGUUUCCGUUUUGAAUUAGCCAUCGUCGUAGUUAAAUCAGUAUAAGCCUUAUAUAACUCCGAACAUAAAAAAAAACCUGUAUAGAAACAAAUCAUUUUUUAUUUCAUCAUUGAUAGUAUAUUUAGCAUAAAAAAAAGAUGACAUUGGAGCUUGAAUAACACCAAACACAAUUUAGAUUAAUAUUUUAAAAUCAGCGAGUAAAAACUUUAUUAAAAAAAAACUUAGAUAAUCAUAAAUAUACAAGAAACAAAAAAUAACAAAAAAAAAAAACAAAAUAGCAUCAUCACUUUUCUUUUCUUAUAAAUGUAACAUUAGUUAUUGCAAGAAACCAAAAAAAAAUAAUAAAACAUUCGAGCUUUCACAUAGUAAUAUUGAUACAAAUCUCAACAAAAUAACAGUAAACUGCUUGGAUACGAAACAAAAAAAAAAUAUGAAAUACAGAUAAAACACAGUUUGCUUAAACAACAACAACAACAAAAACAAUAUUUAUAUUAUAAAAAAAGAUACACUAAGGAAAAGAAAAAUGUGAAUAUUACGCGCCUUCAACGUUAUGUAGAUGUAUAAAUAAAUAUAUGUUUAAUUUAAUGUAGGAUCUUUAUAAAAAAAAUUAAAACAAAAAUCACAAGAAAAACAAAAAAAAAAACUGAGGAAGAAAUGAAAACGAGCGUCGAGAAUAAAUUUAAUAAUUUUUUUAUUCCAAAACUAAUUACAAAAAAUGCAGCCAAUCAUUUUUCAACCAAAAAGAAAAAAAAAAAGAAAAAAAAUAUAUAAAUAUUAAACUUAAAACAAAACUAAAAAAAAAAAACAUAAAUUACUAAACAUGCAUAUUAUACAAAAAAAAUCUUACCGAGUUAAAAAAAAAUAUAUAUAAAAUAAAAAAAAAAAAGUUAAAUAAACUCUCGAUGUUGUGAAACAAUUUAACAAAAAAAAAAUAAAUAAAUUAUAAAUAUUUAAUAAAAUAAAAAAAAAGAUUAUGCCUAACAGUUCAUAGAAUACAACAAAUUACGUAUAUUUUUUAUUAUUCUGCAAAUAAUGAACACGGAAGCACUUUGUAAAACAUUUAAUUAAACCAGCCGUUAAAAAUAAAGAAACCAAAAAAAAAAAAAAAACAUCACAUUUUUGAAUUAAAAAAAAGUCAACCAAAAAUUUAAUUA